rnacentral:rRNA from 1 species
GGAUGCGAUCAUACCAGCACUAAAGCACCGGAUCCCAUCAGAACUCCGAAGUUAAGCGUGCUUGGGCGAGAGUAGUACUAGGAUGGGUGACCUCCUGGGAAGUCCUCGUAUUGCAUUCC